rnacentral:rRNA from 1 species
GAGCCGGCAUCAGGCACACAUACCAUGUAGCCCAAGACGCCUUGCUUAGCCACACCCCCAAGGGAACUCAGCAGUGAUAGAAAUUAGGCAAUGAGCGAAAGCUUGACCUAGUUAGAGCAUCCAAGAGCCGGUAAAACUCGUGCCAGCCACCGCGGUUAUACGGGUGCGCUCAAGAUGAUAUCCUACGGCGUAAAGCGUGAUUAGAGGUAAGACCAAACUAAAGCCGAACAACCCCCAAACUGUUAUACGUUAACGGGGUGAGGAAGACCCACAACGAAAGUAGCUUUAACCCUAACCCUUGAACUCACGACAGUUGAGAAACAAACUGGGAUUAGAUACCCCACUAUGCUCAACCGUAAACAAUGAUGUUUUAUUACAAAAACCUCCGCCAGGGGACUACGAGCAGAAGCUUAAAACCCAAAGGACUUGGCGGUGCCUCAAACCCACCUAGAGGAGCCUGUCCUAGAACCGAUAAUCCCCGUUAAACCUCACCUCUCCUUGUCCAUUCAGCCUAUAUACCGCCGUCGCCAGCUUACCUUUUGAGAGACCCACAGUAAGCCCAACGAGUACUACCCAAAACGUCAGGUCGAGGUGUAGCCAAUGGAGAGGGAAUGAGAUGGGCUACAUUCUCUGACCCAGAGUAAUACGAAAGAUAUAAUGAAAAAAUACUACUGAAGGUG